UGGUAAAAUAACUCCCCAGUUCCCCAAAAAACUCUCUUCUUCUCUUUUUGUUCGAUCAUGUAUGUCAGAAAAAGAACACCGAUACAUUAAAUCUCCCCAUACGUAAAAGGAAAUCCUGCAAGUUCGAAGUGAGAAAUCAAACAAUUUCUUCAUUUUGCUGUAAUGCUUCAUUGAUUUAUACCUCGGGUUUUAUGCCGGACAAGUUGAAAAAAAAAAUUUCUACUUGUUCCUUAGAUUUUCUGGUACGGCUAUCCUUUAAUUUUAGUUUUAGUUUGUGAUUCGCCUGAAUUUGCAUUUUAUUUAUGUAUAAGUUUCUGUAUUAUGAUAGGUGCCUGACCUAUGUUUGAGGAAAUUACAAACUGAAAUAGGAUUAUAUUUUGUGGUUGUUGCCUUGUUGUAUAAUUCAGGGAGCUGUUAUGUUGUUGUUUGAAUUUGAUUCUAUGAUUUUCUGAACUUGUAAGUUCAGUUAGAUGUAACUCACUGACUCUCUUAUUUCUGUAGUAUUUCUCUUUGUUUUUCUUAGUUGUUUGUUGUUCUUAUUCACUCACUUCUCAUGAACUACUUUUUCUUUUCAUUCUCAUUCAUAUUACUUUCUUACAAACUGAUGCAAGUGCCUAUUUGUAGGCAGUGUUAUACCGACAAGACACACUCUAGUUCUAUCUAGAGUUUUCUGAACUUUAUCUCUAACUGAUGACUAGUAUUUUCUUUACAUAAACUUUUGACUAACUGACUUCUCUUGAUCAUUCCAGAUACAUUGGAAUUCUAGACUUUUCUAAACCAUGUUCACAUCCUUUCACAUUACAAGACUUAAUACAAUCGACUAACUAGCUGACUCUACUAACUCUUUUACUUUUUACAGCUUAAGUAAUUCUAGAAUAUGCAUUAACUCCAACAGUGGUAAAUCAAUCCAAUAUAUUACAUAGAAAGAACAAGGACAAAGAAUUCUGAUUGUGUUAAUCCAUGGUCAGUGCUUCUACAUUUCAAUUCAAUUGGAAGUUUGAGUUUUUCCAUUUUCUCAUGCUUAUGGAGAGUAAAGAUAAGUAGACUAUUUGAACUCAUAAACAUAUGUGUAUCGUGUUCACAAUAUUUCGACCAAUUUGAGAUCAAAUGUUAUCGCUGAGUUCUAUUUUAUUUUGUUGUAGCACUAUAAAUUCAAGAAUUGCAACUUUUAGGAUUUGUUGUGAAGACUUACUUCACACAUUAUUUUCCUCUACAACUAAAUGGAAUAAUUUUUGGUUAGUGAUUGAAUGAUUAUAAUAUUUAUUAUUUAACAAUUGAUUUUGUUAUAUAGCCUUGCAAUGUAUAUAGAGUAUAGCUUAGUUAUGUCAGUUACCAUGUGAGUGGAUGAAACAUAUCACAAUUUGCUAAUAUUUACAAAGUGUAUGUGGUAAAGAUAUUGGGAUUUGGAUGGAUCGAUAAAGCACUUAUCAAGUACGAUGCAAUGGUAUUAGGAAGGGUUGAAUGCCUUCCUACAUUACGCUUACAUCCAUGGUAUUCUCAGGUGGCAGAUGAUCAAAAGUCAGGGGGAUCGGCAUAACCACAGUCCGAUGAGACGAACCUGGUAUAACAUAUAUGUAUCUUAGUUAUUUAUGGUUUUGAACUUAUCUGGUUAAUGAUCUGAUGUCCUUCAUCCAAUGUUGGUUCUCUUAGUUGGUAUGAUGCAUUUCACCAUCUUUUUAUUGGUCAUUGUUAUUGUUACUCGUGACAAGCUAAUGUCUUUUUAGGUUCUAGUUACUUAUCAAAACGAUGCUGACAAGGAACUGGUUGGUAAGAAGAUCAAAAUUUGGUUGCAUGUCUGUUGUGAAUUUUUUAAUUUCGAUCACUCUUUAUACAAGGUAAUUAAGGUAGUGUCACAACUUCUCAAAUUAAGAUAUCUUUCUUGGGUUUGGUUUGCUGAUCCAUAAUCGUAUGUCAAUUAAGAUAUUAUGGCGUUGUGUUUUUCUUGUUCAUUAGAUAUUAGUUUUCUUUUAAAAAAAUUACCACUACUGGAGGUACAUUGCUUACAUUAUUGGUGAUGCUCAGUAUGUUUUAUGAAGGUUCCAUUGAUCUUUUUCGUACCUGCCACAAAAAAAAGCGUAAGGUCAUAUAUGUUGGUACAUAGAGACAUUAAAACCCGAGGAAGAAAAAUGGGAAUUAGUUAAAGAGCUUAUAGUUCCAGAAUGUGCUGACGUGCUCUAUUUCUAUCUUUCCAGAAGUAUGAAGGGUCUGAACCUUCAAUUCUUCUGAAACCUAAUGCUCAAGGCUCUCUAAUUUUUUUGUACACAUAUCAACACCACACUUUCAGGAACAAUUGGAUACAUGGAACUGGAGUAUGUUAUACAAGGAACAGUCUUUGACAAAAUAGAUGUGUACAUGUUCGACGUGGUAGCCCUAGAGCUUAUGACUGGAAAGAACAGAUUUCAGCUGAAAUGAAGCUCAAAAGUGUUCCCCUUCCAGAUUCGCUGAUGCUCAAGGCUCUCUAAUUUCUGAAGGGGCGCAACAACCAAGUAUUAUCGAGGGUGAAAUUCAGGAAAAUACUCUUAAGCUGCUGGGACUAUGUCUAGUGAUGGCAGUAGAAAAUCCUAUGAUGGACCUCUUGCCUAUAUAAGCGAAGGAAGAAGCAAGGACGGUGAACUUUUGCCAACUUAAUCUUGAUUAAAGUAUAUUUAUCCCUAAAGUUGUUCCUUUUGUAGUACUUCUUAUCAGUCAUGAUUUUGUUUCGUUUCAAUAUCAAGAAUAAGCGAUUGUAUAAUAUGACUUGGUAGCUUAUUUGUGUUUUGAAUUUUCUAAAUGUAUUUUAUUUUCUUUAAUAAAUGAAUGAAAGCUUUUAA